AAAAAAAAAAAUUUUUAUAUGGUCAAGCUUUGUAUGCGGCCAAGUGACUGAUCAGAAGUGUAUGCACUAGCAAAUAAAUAUGACUGAAAAUGAGGCAUAUCCAAGGCUUGAAGAUAGCUAAUUGGGCAUACAAAUGUUUAUAUAAAACAAAGCUCCUUUUUAUAUGCCAGUUAUUUUGUCACAUAGAGUUACAUGAUAAUGUAAUGAUAAAUUAUGAAGAGAUUUUAAAAUUACUUGGCAUAAAUAUUCCCUAUAAUGAGAUAAUGUGCCAUGUGCAAGACCCGGACCACUAGCUUGAAGCAAGGUCACACUUAGAAGUCAAAGGUUAACAUGGUCUGUUUCUUGUCUGGUCCAUAAACCUGCCAUUUAUCAAGGGAUUUGAAAAUAAUUUGACACAAAUGUUAACCAUAUUGAGAAGGUGUGUUGCACUUAUGACCCGUGUCUGUCAAGUCACGGUCAAGGUCACAAAAUGAUUCAUACCUAAACUAUUCUGGCAUAUUUUGUGCAGAUAACAGUAGCAUUCUAGGACAUUUUUCGUUAAUAGUGACAACUCUUAUUCAGCUUAAUUUUUGUUCUGAUCAAAUUACAUGCAUUAUAUUGCAAAAGCCUAUUGCAGGGCAUCCGUGUCCCAUGGAAACAUUUCUAGUUUAUUGUAUGAUGUAUAAAAUUCUUUGCAUGUAUCCUGGGUACCUUAUUACAGCUUUAAGGUUUAUGUGGCUCAAAAAAAUAGAUCAGAGAACAAAAGGUUAGCCAUGUAAAAUCAGUUCAUAAGAAUGUCAGUCCAUUCGACUGAAGCAUUUCGAUACCACUCCAUAUCUCCUGAACCUCUGAAAGGAAUUCCAGCAAACUUUGGUCAGUUUUCAUUGAGACUAUGUGCAAAAGACAUGACCCAGUAGUGCCAUUCCAAUGUCAAGGUCACAACUCUGGUUCAAUUUAUUGAGCUAUGUUAUUUUGUGUCUGCUUUAUAUCUCUUAAACCUCUGAAAGGAAUUAUAUCUCUUGGGUGAAAAUUUAUGUUCACCUCAUUGAGAAUAUGUGCAGAAGCCAGUUCAAGGUCAAGGUUUUAACUCAAGGUAAACUUAUUGAGCCUUAUGAUUUUGUGUCCUCGCCAAAUCUCUUGAAAGGAAUUUCAUCAAAGUUGAGUCAAAUGUUCACCUCAUUGAGACCAUGUGCAUAAACCAUCAUCCAGCUGUGCAUGUUCAUGGUCAACAUCACAAUUCAAGGUUAACAUUAUGCCAUGAAAUUUUGUGUCUGCUUUGUCUUUUUAACUCCUAAAAGGAACUUCAUCAAAUGUGAGUUAAAUCUUGACCUUAGAGAUAUUAGCAAUAAUCCUGAUCUGUCAGGUCAAGGUCAGGUCAUAGCUGAAGGUUAAUACUUGUGGCAUUAUAACUGGUGUCUGCCCACAUUUGAGUUGAAUGAACAUCUUACACAAUACUGUUGCAUACUAUUUAACUACAUUAUUCUUCAGGGAUUUUUUUCCUUCUUUCAAAUGGGCAGAUGUUCAGCUCCUUAGAAAUCCAGGUUUGCACUGACUAUACCUGUCUUUGAGACUGCCUUGUUCAGUAUGCAAAGAUAAACAUAAAUGCACCAUUGGAUGGACAAAGUGAAUGAAAGUAUUAUGUAUACCCGUUUUAUUUUUUCCAGGAAUAUCAGUAUUGAUGAAGAGAUUCUGUAUGAUUAUGGGUUGGAAAGUCUUCCUUGGGGGAAGAAGCCGUCAUUGAUGGUGAAGAUGGAAGCAGUUUUGAUGAACUUAAUGACCUUGACUACGAAUCAGAAAGUGAAGAAGAUGGAGAUGAUGAUGAUGAUUAUGAAGAAGUAGAUGAAGUAAUGGACAAAUGGGAAAGACUGUGGGAAGGAAAAGUAGAAAGGGGGAUGAAAAGAAAAUGGACUGAAGAAGAAGAUAUAGUUUUCUAUGACAUUUUCAAGGAUGAACUUACUUUAAAAAAGAUGCCUAAAGGAGGGAAAUUGCAGAAAGCUGUUGAAAAGAUAAAAGAACAGUUCCACAAGGAUGAGAGUUCACAACAUGAUAACAAAGCAGCAAAAGGUUACAGGAAAUUUGGUGUAUGAACUAAAUCAGAUAGGCCUAGAAAUGUUUUGUGAAAAGUUUUAAAGUGGUAUAAUAUUAAAUACCAAUAAAUAAUAUUGAAACAUAAAUGAUUAUCAAGUUUUUAUCAUGAGUGUAACAGUUUGUCUGCAUCUGUUUCCAACAGGGUAAUAUAUCACUGAGACACUAAAAGUUCAAUUUUAUUGCUCUGUAACAAAGAAUAGUUAAAAUACUCAUUACAGAAGAUAAUUAAAUGUUUUAAUCAUAUCUUUGAAGUGUUCAGUGUUUGCUUUGUUUGCAGCUUUCAUUUCAGUUGAUAUAAUUGUGUUUGAGCAAAUAUUCAUUGUAACAUUGCUUAAGAAAUAAUUAUAAAAACAUGCCAAACAGUGAUUUUAUCAUUUAAUGAAAUCAUUUGUUUGGUGUUCCGAUGUUAAGGAAUUAUGUCACGCGGUUGCAGCCCUAGUGCUUUAAUAAUAUAUUUCAGAACAACACUGAUUUUAUUCAAGGAAAAAUAUCACGUUAGAUAUAUAUAAUUUCUAUUCUAACCCAAUAUCAAAGAUUACUAUCUGCAUCAAUUGACUACAUCCACAAAAUAUUUGCCUGUUUUCAAGGUGAGCUUUUGUGAUCGUGCUGCGUCCAUCGUCCGUGCGUGCGUGCGUCUGUAAACUUUUGCUUGUGACCACUCUAGAGGUCACAUUUUUAAUGGGAUCUUUAUGAAAGUUGGUCAGAAUGUUCACCUUGAUGAUAUCUAGGUCAAGUUUGAAACUGGGUCACGUGCAAUCAAAAACUAGGUCAGUAGGUCUAAAAAUAGAAAAACCUUGUGACCUCUCUAGAGGCCAUAUUUUUCAAAAGAUCUUUAUGAAAGUUGGUCUGAAUAUUCACCUUGAUGAUAUUUAGGUCAAGUUCGAAACUGGGUUACGUGCCUUCAAAAACUAGGUCAGUAGGUCAAAUAAUAGAAAAUCCUUGUGACCUCUCUGGAGGUCAUAUUUUUUCAUAGGAUCUGCAUGAAAAUUUGUCAGAAUGUUCAUCUUGAUGAUAUCUAGAUCAAGUUCGAAACUGGGUCACGUCCGGUCCAAAACUAGGUCAGUAGGUCAAAUAAUAGAAAAACCUUGUGACCUCUUUAGAGGCCAUAUUUUUCAUUGGAUCUGUAUGAAAAUUGAUCAGAAUGUUCAUCUUGAUGAUAUCUAGGUCAAGUUUGAAACCGGGUCAACUGCUGUCAAAAACUAGGUCAGUAGGUCAAAUAAUAGAAAAUCCUUGUGACCUCUCUAGAGCUCAUAUUUUUCAUGGGAUCUGCAUGAAAAUUGGUCAGAAUGUUCAUCUUGAUGAUAUUUAGGUCAAAUUCGAAACUGGGUCACGUCCGAUCCAAAAAUUGGUCAGUAGGUCAAAUAAUAGAAAAACCUUGUGACCUCUCUAGAGGCCAUAUUUUUCAUGGGACCUGCAUGAAAAUUGGUCAGAAUGUUCAUCUUGAUGAUAUCUAGGUCAAGUUCGAAAUUGGGUCAACUGCGAUCCAAAACUAGGUCAGUAGGUCUAAAAAUAGAAAAUUCUUGUGACCUCCCUAGAGGCAAUAUUUUUCAUGGGAUCUUCAUGAAAAUUGGCCAGAUUGUUCACCUUGAUGAUAUCUAAGUCAGGUUUGAAACUGGGUCAUGUGCGAUUCAAAACUAGGUCAUUAGGUCAAAUAAUUAAAAAACCUUGUGACCUCUCUGGAGGCCAUAUUUUUCAUGGGAUCUGUAUGAAAAUUGGUCAGAAUGUUCAUCUUGAUGAUAUGUAGGUCAAGUUCGAAACUGGGUCACGUUCGGUCAAAAACUAGGUCAAUAAGUCAAAUAAUAGAAAAACCUUGUGACCUCUUUAGAGGCCAUAUUUUUCAUGGGAUCUGCAUGAAAAUUGGUCAGAAUGUUCAUCUUGAUAAUAUCUAGGUCAAGUUUGAAACUGGGUCACAUGCAUUCAAAAACCAGGUCAGUAGGUCAAAUAAUAGAAAAACCUUGUGACCACUCUAGAGGCCAUAGUUUUCAUGGGAUCUGUAUGAAAGUUGGUCUGAAUGUUCAUCUUGAUGAUAUCUAGGUCAAGUUUGAAACCGGGUCAACUGCUGUCAAAAACUAGGUCACAAGGUCCCAACAUAGAAAGAUCUUUUGACCUCUCUAGAGGCCAUAUUUUUCAAUGGAUCUUCAUGACAAUUGGUGAGAAUGUUCACCUUUAUGAUAUCUAGGUCAAGUUCGAAACUGGGUCACAUGCGGUCAAAACUAGGUCAGUACGUCUAAAAAUAGAAAAACCUUGUGACCUCUUUAGAGGCCAUAUUUUUCAUGGGAUCUGCAUGAAAAUUGGUCAGAAUGUUCAUCUUGAUAAUAUCUAGGUCAAGUUUGAAACUGGGUCACAUGCAUUCAAAAACUAGGUCAGUAGGUCAAAUAAUAGAAAAACCUUGUGACCACUCUAGAGGCCAUAGUUUUCUGGGAUCUGUAUGAAAGUUGGUCUGAAUGUUCAUCUUGAUGAUAUCUAGGUCAAGUUUGAAACCCGGCCAACUGCUGUCAAAAACUAGGUCACUAGGUCUCAACAUAGGAAGAUCUUUUGACCUCUCUAGAGGCCAUAUUUUUCAAUGGAUCUUCAUGAAAAUUGGUCAGAAUGUUCACCUUGAUGAUAUCUAGGUCAAGUACAAAACUGGGUUAUAUGCCUUCAAAAACUAGUUCAUUAUUUCAAAUAAUAGAAAAACCUUGUGACCUCUCUAGAGGCCAUAUUUUUCAGUGGAUCUUCACGAAAAUUGGUCAAAAUUUUUUUCUUGAUGAUAUCUAGGUCAAGUUCAGAACUAGUUCACAUGAGCUCUAAAACUAGGUCACUAUGUCAAAUAAUAGAAAAAACGACGUCAUACCCAGUUCAUGUGGGGACAGGUGAGCGAGUCAGGACCAUCAUGGUCCUCUUGUUUUUAUUUAAUGGAACAAAUUGGGUCAUGUUAGAAUGUUUUAUAAAUAAAUGUUUGUAGUAAUCUGUUGGUUAAAUUGUAUUUAUUGCUAUAUCUGGCUGACUUCUGGAUCAUUUAUGUCACAAGGGUAAAAGUUUAUUUAGUUUCCAAAAUGAUAUCCAUGGAGCAAAUUUGUAAAAUGAUUUUACUUAUAAAUAUAAUGUUUUAUUUCUGAAGUAUUAACAUUACUUGGAACGCUGAAAGCUGUGAUGUAUGGUUGUUUAUAUUGGUAGCAGAUAAUAAUCUUUAUACAAUGUAUUUCAACUUAAGUUGUGUUUGAUAUAACAUUUCUUUAAUUUGGUCAUCAGUUUAUUUAUUAGACACAUUGGCAAUGUGUUUAGACACAGAACUUAGUUUUCUGGUAUUUAUGUCACAGAAGAAACAAGAACUAUGAAGACGAUUGCAGCUCAAAUCAGCAUUAGGUAUUGUUCAAAUCUACUCUCUAACAGUUGGGGUUAAAUUAUGUCUGGGGGAAAAAUACUGUUUUUGCCCAGUCCGUUCAUCCAUCAUACUUCAUUUCCAGUCAAUAACUGGAGAACCAUUUGACCUAGAACCUUCAGACUUCACAGGGUGAUAGGGCUUAGUUCACUCGUCAAAGGUCAAGGUCAUGUGUCUGAACAUGGAAAACCCUUUCCAAUCAAUAACUUCAGAACCACUUGACCCAGAAUGUUGGAACUUCAUAGGAUGAUUGGACAUACAGAGUAGAUGACCCCAAUUGAUUUUGGAGUCACUCAAUCAGAUGUCAAGGUCACAGGGGCCAGAACAUGAAAAACCGUUUCCAAUCCAAAAUUUGAGAAACACUUGACCCAGAACAUUGAAACUUCAUGGGAUGAUUGGACAUGCCGAGUAGAUGAUCUCUAUUGCAUUUCAGUCACUAAGCCGACCACCAGUGUCUAUUUGAUUUUCACUCCUGUGCGCUAUUGACUUCUUGCUUAUUGCUCACUGUGCUUUGGGGGAGACGUGUGCUUUUCUACAAAAUCAUUUUCUAGUUUUUCAACAUUUUCAUUUCAACCAAGUUUGGCAUAGAAUGUAUAUAUGACACUGAAAAUUGUAUAUGUUAGGGGAAAUAAGUGCUAGAUAUUGGUAAAAAAGCAAGAAGAAUGUUGAUUUUCUUUAUCGAUUUCAAAAACAUUAUGAACGGUUUACUUGAGUCUGCAAACUAUGUUUGGUAAUUAAUUAGGAUAUCUUUCAAAAAGCAUGUCAAUAAAUUUUUAAUACUGUAAAUUUGCUUGAGUAAGAAAGCCAUGAACCAUAACUCUUCUUGCGUAUUGCCUAGUGACAAACACUUACAGACAUAUGUUGGUACCUGCCGACAGUGCUCUCGAUUACUUCUGUUGUAUUGACAUAACACUGUAAUAAUUUUACCAACUGUUUACAUAACAAAGGCAUACCCAUAUCCGUAGUAAAGAAAAGGAUUUCAUUUAUUAUCAUGGGUGUUACCAUUGACAGUUUGACAAAUAACAUACACAAUUGUUACAGUUGUUAGUUUGGUAUGACCAAAACCAUUACUUUUUUUAAAAUAUGUAAAAUAUUAUAAUUAUUUGCUAGAACUUUAUCUGUAAAAAUUAAACAAAGGAACAUACAUAUUGUUUACUUUAGGAACUAUCUUGUAAGAAAGUUGUUCAAAUGUUUCAUUUUAUUUUUGUUACAGACAUUGAUCAAGAUGAAAGUUUUAUCCUAUUAAUUUUAACAUAACUGUAAAAGGUACUAUUCAGUAAUGUUGAAGAAGAAAUUGGAAAAGAAUGAUAGAUGCAGGCUUUUAAGUGGUAUUUCUUUCAUAUGUUACUUUUUUAGCUUAAAUAUUUGCUGUUUACUUUUACACGAUUGUUAGCUUGCGUGAGCACAAAGUGCUCAGUGGGAGCUUUGUGAUCUCUUAUUGUGUGUUGGUCAAACUUUUCUUCAGGCGACAUCUCUGAAACCACAUGGUUGGUGAAACUUGGCCUGGAUGUUCCUUGGAUGAUCCUCUACCUAAGUGUUCAAAGAAUUUUAUUCCAUGCAGAACUCUGGUGCUAUGAUAACAGAAAUGAAAAACUUGAACAGUCUUCUUCUCAGAAACCAGUUUCAAUAUAAUUUGACAAAAUUGUUCCUUUGGUGACCCUCUAACAAGAUUGCUCAAAUUUAGCCAAAAAUAUGGCUGCUAGAAGGCAUGGUCUAUUUUCCCUACAUUUAUAUAUUGGAAUUUAAAAAAAAAAUCUUGUCAGAAACUGUUUGCCCAAUUACAUAAUAAUUUCACAGGAAUGUGCUGUUUUUGACCCUCUACCAGGAUUGUUCAUAUUUGUCAAAAAAACAUUGCCGCAUUGGGGGUGGUGGGGGGGUGGGGAGUGAUCACUAUUCCCAGUGUGUUUCUAGUGGGAACUUUAAAAAAUCUUGUCAGAAGCUUCAUCAAGCUUGGUCUGUAGCACCAUUAUGAGGUCCUUUCCCAAAUUUGUUCAAAUUAGGACAUUUAGCCCCUUUUAGGGCCUGCUGUAGCUAAAGAAUAGAAAUACCUUUAAAGGAUUUCUCAUGAAACAUUUGGUGGAUCUCUAUCAAACUGUAACAUCGUUUAUAAGGUCCAGUCCUUAUUUUGUUAAAAUGAGGGAACUUGGCCCCUUUUAGGGGUCUCUAGAGCUUAAAAUAGAAGUAUAUUUAAACCACUUAAUUUCAUGAACCGCUUGAUGAAUCUUCACCAAACUUGGUUGGUAGAGUCAUUUUUAAGGUUCCCUUUCAAAUUUGUUCCAAUGGGCCCCAUUGGGCCUCUUUUUGGGGUAGCUAGAGCUAAAAAUAGAAAAAGAUUUAAAUGACUCUCAUGAACUUCUGGAUGGGUCUUGCUCAAACUUUGUUUGUAACAUCCUUGUAAGGUCUCAUCUUGGCCCUUUUCAGGGGUCAUUAGCGCUAACAUUGCGUUUAAACAACUUCUUCUCAUGAAUCAUUUGACUGAUCUCCAUCAUCUUGGUCUCUAAUGUUCCUUUAAUGUUGUCUUUUAAAUUUCUUUAAAUGGGGGCACUUGACGCCUUGAACUGAAAUUAGAAAUAUCUUUAAAUGACAUUUUCCCAUGAACUACUUGGCAGAUCUUUGUAGGAUCCUUGAGCGUUUGUGCACUUUGUUUGGUAUCUGUGACAUUGAACUUGUACUUGUCAUUAAAAGCAAUAGUAUCUAGGUUAGCGAUAUAGGGCCAUCAUAGCCCUCUUGUUCAUGCAAUAGUUCAUUUACUAUUUACCCUAUCUUCAUCAUACUUAUUGUUGGCUUUUGAUUCAGUUAUAAUCCUUAAUAGUUUAUUCAGCUGAGUGGUGACCUAGGUCCAUUCUGACACUCUUGUUUAUUAGUAGAAUUUAGAAUUUAAUUUACUUCAAGGAAAGAGGAUGUCUGCAAUAUUGACAGGUUUUCAACUAUGCUCAAGUAGAUAUUGAAUAACUUCUAAUAUUGUCAGCUUACGUAUUGCAUUUUUGUACCCCCCGACAACGAAGUUGUAAGGGGGGUAUACUGGUUUCAGGUUGUCUGUCUGUCUGUCUGUCCGUCUAUAGACACAAUUUUGUGCGCACCAUCUCUCCUCAUCCCCUUGACACAAUUUAAUGAAACUUCACACAAGUGAUCAGUAACAACAGUAGUUGUGCAUGGGGCAUGUUAGGUUCUUUCAACAACAAAAAUUGCAGAGUUUUGGGACUUUGUUUCUUGUUAACAUAGUAUGUACAUACAGUCUGCAUAUGCAAUCUUGUGCACGCCUAAUCUUCCAAACCCUUGCACACAAUUUAAUGAAACUUCACACAAGUGAUCAGUACCAACCCUAGUCGUGCAUGGUGCAUGUUACGUUCUUUUAGAUAAAUAUUCUGCAUAGUUAUGGGACUUUGUUUUUUGUUACUAUACUGUAUACAUACAGUCUAUAUACAUAAAGUCCACAUAAUUAUGCAAUAUUGUGUGCGUCAAAUUGCAAUGUACUGUGUCAGGGCAUGCGGGGGGUACAUUCAUCACCUUUAGUGAUAGCUCUAGUUUGUAAAUGUUUUGAAAGUUUGAAACAUAUUGCUCAAGGUGAGCUUUUGUGACCGCUUGAUAUCUGUCAAUAAUUGCUAAAACAAUCUUCUUCAAAACUACUGGGCAGAUUUACACCAAACUUCACAGGAA